GUGCGCUCGGCCAACCGCCUCUAGGAGCGCCCAGCCGAACGCCCCGGGAGCCGGCGGGCGGCGGCCCUCGCCGGGGACCCUCCAGCAGGCCCAGGGGGACAAAGUGGCUCUAAAUGCAGCACAGGCACAUUGAAGCAAGUUAAAGGAUUUAAUGUGAAGCACAGAAGCAGAUGGUGCCAAAUAGCAAGCUGUAGUUGGUACACAUUUAGUGAGUGGGGCCCCAUUUUGUUCUCCCACUGCUGCUGAGAUGGCGGAGAUUAGUCGAAUUCAGUAUGAAAUGGAAUACACCGAAGGUAUUAGUCAGCAAAUGAGGGUCCCGGAGAAACUAAAGGUAGCACCACCAAAUGCUGACCUGGAACAAGGAUUCCAAGAAGGAGUUCCAAACGCUAGUGUCAUUAUGCAGGUUCCUGAGAGGAUUGUUGUAGCAGGAAAUAAUGAAGACAUUCCAUUUUCAAGACCAGCAGAUCUUGACCUUAUUCAGUCAACUCCCUUUAAACCUCUGGCACUAAAAACACCAUCUCGUGUACUUACAUUAAGUGAAAGACCACUAGAUUUUCUGGAUUUAGAAAGACCUCCUCCAACCCCUCAAAAUGAAGAAAUCCGUGCAGUUGGCAGGCUAAAAAGAGAGCGCUCUAUGAGUGAAAAUGCUGUUCGCCAAAACGGACAGCUGGUCAGAGCUGACUCCAUACCUGUGUUGCGUGGUGGGUCUGCUGCCGACACUUCUAAUCCUCAUCGUGACAACGUCAGGCAUGGCAUGUCACAUAUAGAUACAACAAUUGAAGGAACUUCAGACGACAUGACUUGUAGAUGCAGCUUCGUUAAGACGGCAGAUAAUCAAACUAAAUAGAUGUCUACAACUUCUAGAAGAGGAGAACAAAGAGCGUGCUAAAAGAGAAAUGGUCAUGUAUUCAAUUACUGUAGCGUUCUUGCUGCUUAAUAGCUGGCUCUGGUUUCGCUGCUAGAGGUAACCUCAGCUCUCGAAAAUAUUGUCUCAACAGCUGCAAAUAUAAAGAAUUUGCAAACUUC